AGCCGGUUCUCGUACGACCACCGAAGUUAAGUAACGUCGAGCCAGGUCAAUACCUAAGUGGGUGACCGCUUGAGAAUAUCAGGUGCUGUAAG